GACGAACGCUGGCGGCGUGCUUAACACAUGCAAGUCGAACGGAAAGGCCCUGCUUUUGUGGGGUGCUCGAGUGGCGAACGGGUGGGUAACACGUGAGUAACCUGCCCUUGCCUUUGGGAUAACUUCAGGAAACUGGGGCUAAUACCGGAUAGGAGCUCCUGCUGCAUGGUGGGGGUUGGAAAGUUUCGGCGGUUGGGGAUGGACUCGCGGCUUAUCAGCUUGUUGGUGGGGUAGUGGCUUACGAAGGCUUUGACGGGUAGCCGGCCUGAGAGGGUGACCGGCCACAUUGGGACUGAGAUACGGCCCAGACUCCUACGGGAGGCAGCAGUGGGGAAUAUUGCACAAUGGGCGGAAGCCUGAUGCAGCAACGCCGCGUGCGGGAUGACGGCCUUCGGGUUGUAACCCGCUUUCGCCUGUGACGAAGCGUGAGUGACGGUAAUGGGUAAAGAAGCACCGGCUAACUACGUG
rnacentral:rRNA from 1 species